GUAUUUUUUAAUUGUAUUAUUCCAUUCAAUUUGUGGCAGUUUGAUUGAAAAAAAAUCCUCCAUCAUUUGCCAUAUUUUCUUAGAAAAAGGAAUAAAAUUAAAAUUUUAUUUUAUGUGUCUGUAGUAAACUUAUUUUCAGGACGUCCAUGGAGAUGCACUAAGAAAGUAAUAAAUGGAAUACAAGUUCCUCUUUUUAUUAUAAGAUUCCUGCCAUCUUUAGGCAGUUAAGGCAUAGGAAAAUAGUAUGGAAAAUGUAUCAUUUAUGUAGAUUGGAACUUGUCUAUGAUGACAAGUCUACUAAUAGUCUAGAACUUUGCUGCCUGUUGCCAGCCAGAUGAGACAGGACACACUGUAUUCCUUUCACCUUUUAUUCUAGAUAACAGAUUUGGUUGAUCAUCAUCAAUUUUUGAAACACAGUUUAUUGUUCCAUCCAUAUCUUUGUGCAUGCAUAUUGUAAAAUGUUUGGAUGGAUUUUUCUAUUGAAUGAAUCUAAAUUGGCAUGAUGCCAGAUGUUUUGUUGUUAUUGAGAUCAGUAUUAUCUGAUGUUUCACUGAAUUUACUGAUUAAAUCUAU
rnacentral:lncRNA from 1 species